rnacentral:lncRNA from 1 species
GCCCUGUCCCUUUGAUGUUAAGUGGUGGAGGGAGUUGGCGGGAUUUGCCUCUGGCUUGCGGUAUAUCUAGUGGAUUGUAUCAAAUCCAGAAUUCAAGUUCUUUCCAUGUCUUGAAAACAGGCAGGAUUUAUCAGAACUUUUAUAAAUGUUGUGAAAAAUGAAGGAAUAAUGGCCUUACAUUCUGGACUGAAACCUACUAUGAUUCGAGCAUUACCUGACGAUUUAGCACUCUUUUUGGCCGACGAAUAUACCAGGAAGUUGAUGAUGAGCCAGUUGGAAGCAUACUGA